rnacentral:rRNA from 1 species
GACGUAGGGCGCGAGCGUUGUCCGGAUUUAUUGGGCGUAAAGAGCUCGUAGGCGGCUUGUCGCGUCGACCGUGAAAACUCACAGCUCAACUGUGAGCUUGCGGUCGAUACGGGCAGGCUCGAGUUCGGUAGGGGAGACUGGAAUUCCUGGUGUAGCGGUGAAAUGCGCAGAUAUCAGGAGGGAACACCGGUGGCGAAGGCGGGUCUCUGGGCCGAUACUGACGCUGAGGAGCGAAAGCGUGGGGAGCGAACAGG